CUUCAGCUCAGACUUACAAGUGAGAACAUGCAGGAUCUGGUUUUCUGUUCCUGGUGCUAAUUGGCUUAGGACAUGGCCUCUAGCUGCAUCCAUGUUGCGGCUAAGGUCAAGAUUUUGUUCCUUUUUAUGGCUGAGUACCUGGUGAUUUUUUAAAAGAAAAGUUUGCUGAACUGAACCAAUUCACACUGAGGCCUGCACGGUGGGGCUUCUGGAAGCAGCACUCUUGCGGAGGCUGCGACCAGGACCCAGUUGGAGGCGCCUGGGUGUAGCGCCUAGGCAGGGAGAAGCCCCGGAGGACGAGGCCUCUGACCGGCCGCAGCACUCAGUUCCCGGCACCGCGGUGAGGACCGCGCCCGCGCCACGCGCGCCGAAAGGACUCCGCGAGCUCCUGCAGGUAACGGGCUCGGUGCAGUCCGGAGCCCAGACCAGGCAGUUGCUGAGUUAUGUCCGGGCGAGAUCGGUGUCCUUCAGGGUGGGAGGCUCAGAAACCCAGCGCGCGAGCCUCUGGGCAGUGAAGGCGAGGAGAGGGGCGCGUGGUCCGGGUCUUCAUCUGGCCGUGCUGGCACCCGCGGCCUGGCCCGCAUUCGCUUCCGGUCUUCAGUCUGUGCUCCAUCAAGGGUGUUCUUUCAAGGUCACACUUUCCUUUCUUCCAACCCUGAGGCUCUUCAGGCCUGGCUUGCUGUCAGCGGACUGUGGUGGCCUUGAAAAGGAAACGUUAUUCUGCUGCUCCUGCGCCACAUUGGAGACAUUAAGAGCAGGAAAAGCUGAACGGGGCUCUCUAGGGACCUUCACUCCAGCAGGCUGCCUUCAUUUUGCGGACUAUGGACACAAGCAAAUCCCUCAGGUACCAGGGAUCUGUUCUCCGUCUCCCUCAUUGCACUUGGAUCAACCCUGCAAGGCUGCCUCUGCCCUGUGUGCUGAAACACCGCCCGGCCGUUUCUUCCCCUGCAUCUGUGCCUCCCUGGGCUGCGCAGAAUACAGGCCCCUCCUUCCCAGGGAUCCACACGAGCCUCACAUUCUUUGCUUUCUCUCUAACUUUCUUCCUUUCUCUCCAGGUUUGGGAAAACUUCAUAUAAUCUUUGUAAGAGUAGCUGAGCAGGA
rnacentral:lncRNA from 1 species